CGCUAUGGCGGCUGUGCGUGGGACACCUUCGGGUGUGCCGGUUCCCGUGUGUGCCGGUCGGCCAACCCGCGUACAGUCGCCCCCAUC
rnacentral:antisense_RNA from 1 species